AGCGAACGCUGGCGGCAGGCUUAACACAUGCAAGUCGAGCGGGCAUAGCAAUAUGUCAGCGGCAGACGGGUGAGUAACGCGUGGGAACGCACCUUUUGGUUCGGAACAACACAGGGAAACUUGUGCUAAUACCGGAUAAGCCCUUACGGGGAAAGAUUUAUCGCCGAAAGAUCGGCCCGCGUCGGAUUGGCUAGUUGGUGAGGUAAUGGCUCACCAAGGCGACGAUCAGUAGCUGGGCUGAGAGGAUGAGCAGCCACAUUGGGACUGAGACACGGCCCAAACUCGUACGGGAGGCAGAAGUGGGGAAUAUUGGACAAUGGGCGCAAGCCUGAUCCAGCCAUGCCGCGUGAGUGAUGAAGGCCCUAGGGUUGUAAAGCUCUUUUGUGCGGGAAGAUAAUGACGGUACCGCAAGAAUAAGCCCCGGCUAACUUCGUGCCAGCAGCCGCGGUAA
rnacentral:rRNA from 1 species